GUUGUCACACCUGCAAAAGUACGAGAAUCAAAUGAUUCUUUAAAUUUCAGUAACAUUGGUAUUAGAUAGAUGUGUGUAUAAAGGGUCCAUUUUCAUAUACUAGUAAGAGCCCACGUACCAUGGCACAAUUGCACAAUAUCCACUCUUGGCCAUGUCCGAAUUCAAGAAAAGUUAAAUUUUUGGUUAGUUUCCUUACAAUAAGCUAUAGCACAUCCUUUCCAAUUUAGAAAGAUGACUUGCUGAACUUAAAGUUUUUAUUGUCUAGAAAUAUUCUGGGUGUUUUUUACAACAACAUAAGGUAAAAAGUAUUGAUUAAGUCACAUUUACUUCAAUGGCACACGUUGUUAUCUGGAAAAAAAUUCCGGCAUUUGUAUCAUAAACUCAAAUUAAUUCUAUUUUCGUACCAUGAUUUCCUAUGCAAGCUUAUGUACAUUCUAUAUUAGUACUAUUUACACGAUACUGGACUCAUACCGUGUCGAAAUCGAAAUCCAAUCAUGAAUCCAAUCCGAUGAAGCAAAAAAAAUUAAAAUAAAAUCAUUAUUUAUCUCUACAAUUACGUCAUUUCCCCUCCAACACGAACUAGUGCAUGUGGAGUAACCGUAUGGCGGCAAAUGACAGUCGAAAUCUCGACGCAUUUCUAACAGAAAGGCCGUCCCAUUUGGACUGAUAGGGUGAUUGAACUCUUGCCGCAGUGAUUCAUAAAGUUUGAUUGUAUGUGGAGGCAGACUGGGGAAGUAUUGAAUCGAAAUUGGAGCCAAUUGCAAUUUGGAAAUGACUGUUUGAAUUGCAGCCAGAAAGGGGGUGGAUGAACUUAAUACACGGGAAUAAACAUUGUGAAACUCUCUGGUCAAUGUGCAUGGAAAGUGCUAAGACAAAGAAAAGAAUAGCUGCGAAGGGACUUGCUUUUAAAGUUGAGUAGAAACUCACUGUCAGAUACGAUCAUGUUCAAAGUAGCAUAUGGGAUGUCUUAUGAAUAUUGUCCUCAUGAACAUAAAAGUUGAAGGAAUAUUUCUACAUGUUUGAGCACUCUGGUGACUCUAGUGUAAAACAGCAACAAUGUGUAACCGUCUGUUCUACUCCCCAGUCUUGAGCCACCAUUGCACAGGAGGGUACAUUGUUAUACAAAUUGUGUAUAUAAAGCAUACAGGAUAGCUUCAACCAACUUCUCCAAGAAGCUAGACCUUACCAUUGUUUGAAAAUUCAUCUGUGGCUAUAGCUGAAACUUGUAUUAAAGAUGAAGCUAGUGGUGGGGUGAAUCAACAUGAGAAUCUCCAUUCGACAAAUAUAAUUACCCAAAGUUGCCGCAUCCUUGAGGAAACUAUAGAAGCAAGGUUUGCCUAUAAACAGUGCAUUUUUUGGUGUCAUUGAUGAAGGGGUGUUUUUUAUUUCACAUCAACUGCAUCACAACUUUGACAAUUUGACUAUCUUCUGUUUUGAUAGGUGAAAUUAUAACCUGCCUUAUUUUUACAACAAUAUUCUUCCAAUUCACACUUUUUGCCUUAAUUAAGUUAUAAAAUGGAACAUUAUGUCCAUAAUAGAAUUUUCAAAGAACAGACCAUGACUAAUGUCUAUCAAAGGAAAAAAUAUGAAUCAAACUGAGCUAGUUGUAGUUAAUAGAGAGGAAGGGGUUAUUUUAAAUAUAUGAACAUGUCUGUUGUGGGUUUUCAACUCUUUGCUACCUACUGUAGGAAUCAAGAUGCACAAAAAAGUCAACCUUUUUUUUAUUAGUUUAUUGUCAUUAUUCAUAUUGUAUAAUCCUUAAUCACUAUGGAUUUCAAAAGAAAUUAAAUAACUAACAUAGUAAAA